rnacentral:rRNA from 1 species
CCUACGGUGGGCUGCAGUGGGGAAUAUUGCACAAUGGGGGAAACCCUGAUGCAGCGACGCCGCGUGAGUGAAGAAGCGUUUCGGCGCGUAAAGCUCUGUCAGCGGGGAAGAAACACGGUUCGCGAGAGCCGCGGACGGUACCCGACCAAGAAGCCCCGGCUAACUACGUGCCAGCAGCCGCGGUCAUACGUAGGGGGCAAGCGGUAUCCGGAUUCACUGGGUGUAAAGGGAGCGUAGACGGCGAGAGAAGUCUGGAGUGAAAGGCCGGGGCCCAACCCCGGGACUGCUCUGGAAACUGCCUGGCUGGAGUACAGGAGAGGUAAGUGGAAUUCCUAGUGUAGCGGUGAAAUGCGUAGAUAUUAGGAGGAACAUCGGUGGCGUAAGCGCUUUACUGGGCCGUAAUUGACGCUGAGGAACGAAAGCCAGGGUAGCAAAUGGGAUUAGAUACCCGUGUAGUC